UACGUAGGGUGCGAGCGUUGUCCGGAAUUAUUGGGCGUAAAGAGCUCGUAGGCGGUUUGUCACGUCUGCUGUGAAAUCCCGAGGCUCAACCUCGGGCCUGCAGUGGGUACGGGCAGACUGGAGUGCGGUAGGGGAGAAUGGAAUUCCUGGUGUAGCGGUGGAAUGCGCAGAUAUCAGGAGGAACACCGAUGGCGAAGGCAGGUCUCUGGGCCAUAACUGACGCUGAGAAGCGAAAGCAUGGGGAGCGAACAGG
rnacentral:rRNA from 1 species